rnacentral:rRNA from 1 species
AAUGAACGCUGGCGGCGCGCCUAAUACAUGCAAGUCGAGCGAGAAGACGUAGCAAUACGUUUGUAAAGCGGCGAACGGGUGAGGAAUACAUGGGUAACCUACCCUCGAGUGGGGAAUAACUAGCCGAAAGGUUAGCUAAUACCGCGUACGCUUCUUGGACUUCGGUUCAGGGAGGAAAGCGAUGCCGAGGGUAUCGCGCUCUUGGAUGGGCUCAUGUCCUAUCAGCUUGUUGGGAGGUAACGGCUCACCAAGGCUUCGACGGGUAGCUGGUCUGAGAGGACGAUCAGCCACACUGGCACUGCGACACGGGCCAGACUCCUACGGGAGGCAGCAGUAAGGAAUAUUGCGCAAUGGGCGAAAGCCUGACGCAGCGACGCCGCGUGGGGGAUGAAGGUCUUCGGAUUGUAAACCCCUUUCGGGAGGGAAGAUGGAAUGGGGUAACCCAUUCGGACGGUACCUCCAGAAGCAGCCACGGCUAACUUCGUGCCAGCCGCCGCUGUAAU